rnacentral:tRNA from 1 species
GGGUGAUUAGCUAAGCUGGGAGAGCAGCUGCCUUACAAGCAGCGGGUCGGCGGUUCGAUCCCGUCAUCACCCACCA